GGGGGACUGAUCUAGGCUGGCGUACGGUCGACCGGUGCCUAGCACCGGCCAUAAUGUUUUGCAACUCAGAGUUGGAGAUGUGUUAUGCUCAAGUCGUAGGGCUAUUCCAUACUAGUACAGCAGUUGUUGAUUCACCGUAGACAGCUGUGAAUUAAGUCAAUGACACACAAUAGUUUAUUUGGAAUCAUAACACCCCACCAUUUUAGCCAGCCGCCGUGAGACGACACUAGUAUAGCACGUAAAAAAAAGUUCUGCCGCUCCGCCUACGAGAAAUGGCGCUCGUCGCCGCCCAGAUCGACCACCUCCGCGCCCUCGUCGCGGCACCUCGCCCGCGUCCGCACCUACCAGCUGACCUGCCUCCCUCCGCCUCGUUGUCCGGCUCCCCGACAGCGACGAGGACGACGAUUACUGUCCGGCGCUCCGCUGCUACAACGAGGAGUACCACUACGAGGACGGGCAGGAGGGGAGCGAGGAGGAUGCCGUGGCGUGGGUCUGGAACGCCGGAUCUGCCUCCUCGAGAACGGACGAGAUAGGGAUGUAGGUGAAUCGUCCAUGGAGGAAGAGAAUGCUCCCCACCUGUAUGCAGAUGGGGCAUUAUCGCUGGACUUGGCCGGACAGGAAACAAGCUGAUUUUGUGCUGACAAGGCGUCACAUGAGGAGACUGGAAAAAAUGCAGACGAGGCCUUGCUGCCGGACUCGCCAAGACUUCCUCCAAGUUCGUGGUGUUUAAGGAAAGGAGGGCAGGUUCGUAGGGGGUUAACAAGCAAGGUGAUGCUAUUGUGUCUAUUAUGUGUAGUUUGUUUCAGAGAAGUCACGCUGAUUUCUCUCGAUAUUUGUCUAUUUGCAGAGAAGUUGGUCAAAGGCAGGCUUUAGUUAAGACUGAUUUAGAACCGGAUGAACAAUGCUAACAUUGCAUAGUUGUAUGCCAUCUAGGGCUGUCUCAAUUUCAUAUCACCCGGAGUUGUCUAAUGUCUCGGAAUAUGCUGAUCUCCGGAGGUAAUAAAUUUUACAUUACUUAGCAUACUUAGAUGAAAAGUUAAAUCAUGCAUGUGUUCGGAAACCAAGUUCAAAAUCAUGAUGUGUUAUCGGUUCCUUUAAUUUCUAAGUUGUGAGCUCUUUUUUGGGAAA